rnacentral:lncRNA from 10 species
GUGCGCUUGUGUGCCCCUGUGAGGCUCCUGGGUUCCACGGGGCGCCCAGGUUAUACGGAUCUCAGAGUCCUGUAUUUAUUCGGUGCUUCUAACUUCAUCCACUCUGCCUUGGAAAAUAUACUCCAUAACAAUUUUUUUUUUUUUUUGAGACAAGAUCUUGGUCUGUCGCCCAGGCUGGAGUGCAGUGGUGCGAUCACAGCUCACUGUAGCCUCGACCUCCCAGGUUCAAGCGAUCCUCCUGCCUCGGCCUCCUGAGUAGCAGUGUCAUUCACCAGGCCCUUCUAAUUUAAAAAUAUUUUUCUGGCCGGGCGCGGUGGCUCACGCCUGUAAUCCCAGCACUUUGGGAGGCCGAGGCGGGUGGAUCACCUGAGGUCAUGAGUUCGAGACCAGCCUAGCCAACAUGGUGAAACUGUCUCUACUAAAAAUACAAAAAAUAGCCGGGCGUGGUGGCGGGCGCCUAUAGUCCCAGCUACUCGGGAGGCUGGGGCAGGAGAAUUGCUUAAACCCAGGACGCAGAGGUUGCAGUGAGCUGAGAUCAUGCCACUGCACUCCAGCCGGGGUGACAGAGUAAAGCUCCGUCUCAAAAAAAAAAAAAAGAUUGUAUGUAUAUAUACACACACACACACACACACACACACACAUAAUUAUAUUUUUUUUUCCUGUAGAAAUGAGAUCUCACUGUGCUGAGCCCAGGCUGAUCCCCAACUCCUGGGCUCAAGCCGUCCUCCCGUCUUGGUCUCCCAAAGUGCUGUCUCAAAAAAAGAAGAAAUUAUCUGAUCUACCCUAUUGACUGUAGGUCAUAAGACCCCCGUUUCAAAGAAGUUUCUGCCCCACACAAGGCCUAUCUAUCUAGAUUCUUCUUGGCCUCUCUGAGCAUGCAUUCCUGAGACUCCAAGAAGAAUCUAGACAGAUAGGCCUUGCUGGGUUUCCCCACUCAGCCUAUUAGUAUUAGACGACCCCCCCGGCUUUUUUUUUUUUUUUUUUUUUUUGUCUUGCUCUGUUGUCCAGGCAACACUGGAGUGCAGUGGCAAGAUCUCAACUCGCUGCAACCUUGGCCUCCCAGGUUCAAGCGAUUCUCAGCCAACCAAGUAGCUGGGAUUACAGAUGCACCAUGCCCAGCUAAUUUUUGUAUUUUUAGUAGAGAUGGGGUUUUUCCAUGUUGCUCAGGCUGGUCUCAAACUCCUGGCCUCAAGUGAUCCACCCGCCUCAGCCUCCCAAAGUGUCAGGAUUACAAGUAUGAACCACGACAAACCCUUUUUGUCCAAUCAAAUUUCUACCUGGGUGUUCAAACUUUGCUGAACCUAAGCAUAAGACACUUUUCAUUAAUCAGGCAUGGUGGCGGGCACCUGUAAUCCCAGCUGCUUGGGAAGCUGAGGCUGCUGUGAGCCAAGAUCGCCCCUACACUCCAGCCCAGGGAACAGAGCCAGACUCCGUCUCAAAACAAAACAAAACAAAAACACAGUUUCCCCUGUAUCUCUGGAUCUUCAUUCUGAAGGCUUGUCAGGUAACACUAUGAUCAAAUACAUUCGUAUUCCUUUUCUCUUAUUAAUCUGCCUUUUCUCAGUAAUUUUUAGUGAAACUUCAGAGGGCAAUAAGGAAGCUUUCUCUUCACCCCUACACAGCCAAAGUUCAGAUUUGAUGGAAAUGGCAAGAUUCCAGGGUACUUGUGUUUAUUUAGACACAUAAAUAUGUAUUUAACGACAGGGUCUCACUCUGUUGCCCAGGCUGGAGUGCAGUGGUGUAAUCACGGCUCAUUGCAGCCUCGACCUCCCAGGCUCAAGUGAUCAACCUCAGUCUCUGGAGUACCUGGGAUUACAGGCAUGAGCCACUAUGCUGAGCUAAUUUUUGUUUUCUGUUUUUGGGGGACAGGUCUCACUCUGUGGCCCAGACUGGAGUGCAGUGGUGUGAUCUCAGCUCCCUACAACCUCCACCUCCUGGGUUCAAGUGAUUCUCCCACCUCAGCCUCCCAGAUAGCUGGGACUACAGGUGCCUGCCAUCAUGCCUGCUAAUUUUUGUUUUUUGUUUUUUUUUUUGGAACAGAGUCUUCUUCUGUCACCCAGGCUGUAGUGCAGUGGCACAAUCUUGGCUCACUGCAACCUCCACCUCCUGGUUCAAACGAUUCUCGUGCCUCAGCCUCCCGGGUAGCUGGGACUACAGGUGCUCACCACCACGCCCAGCUUUUUUUUUGUAUUUUUAGUAGAGACGGGUUUUCACCACGUUGGCCAGGCUGCUCUCGAACUCCUGACCUCAAGUGAUCUGCCUGCCUCAGCUUCCCAAAGUGUUGGAAUUACAGGCGUGAGCCACCACGCCCAGCCUAAUUUUUUUUUUUUUUUUUUUGAGACGGAGUCUUGCUCUAUUGCCCAGGCUGGAGUGCAGUGGUGCGAUCUCCGCUCACUGCAAGCUCCGCCUCCCAGGUUCACACCAUUCUCCUGCCUCAGCCUCCUGAGUAGCUGGGACUACAGGCACCCGCCACCACGCCCGGCUAAUUUUUUGUAUUUUUAGUAGACAGGGUUUCACCAUGUUGGCCAGGAUGGUCUCAAUCUCUUGACCUCAUGAUCCACACGCCUCAGCCUCCCAAAGUGCUGGGAUUACAGGCAUGAGCCACCGCACCCAGCCCUAAUUUUUUUAUUUUUAGUAGAGAUGGGGUUUCACCACGUUGGCCAGGCUGCUCCUGAAUUCCUGACCUCAAGUGACCCACCCACCUUGGCCUCCCAAAAGUUCUGGGAUUACAGAAGUGAGCCACUGUGCCUGGCUCAGUACCCAUACUUUUUUUUUUUUUUUUUGUAUUUUUAGUAGAGACGGGGUUUCACCCUGUUAGCCAGGAUGGUCUCGAUCGCCUGGCCUCGUGACCCGCCCGCCUCAGCCUCCCAAAGUGCUGCGAUUACAGACGCGGGCCACCUCGCCCAGCCCAGUACCCAGAAUUUUGACCAUCAAGUGGCACACUGAGCUAGGGGGACCCAACAAGACCCCUCACCCCUAAGGAAAGCCACCAGAUGGGGGCAACUGCCCACUUUAUUAGACAAUAGGUGGCCCACAGGUCUCCUCAGGGCCCACCCUCACAGUAGAC